rnacentral:rRNA from 1 species
AUUGAACGCUGGCGGAAUGCUUUACACAUGCAAGUCGAACUGCAGCACGGGGCAACCUGGUGGCGAGUGGCGAACGGGUGAGUAAUACAUCGGAACGUGCCCAAUCGUGGGGGAUAACGUAGCGAAAGCUACGCUAAUACCGCAUACGAUCUACGGAUGAAAGCGGGGGAUCGCAAGACCUCGCGCGAAUGGAGCGGCCGAUGGCAGAUGAGGUAGUUGGUGGGGUAAAGGCUCACCAAGCCGACGAUCUGUAGCUGGUCUGAGAGGACGACCAGCCACACGGGGACUGAGACACGGCCCAGACUCCGACGGGAGGCAGCAGUGGGGAAUUUUGGACAAUGGGCGCAAGCCUGAUCCAGCCAUUCCGCGUGCAGGAUGAAGGCCUUCGGGUUGUAAACUGCUUUUGUACGGAACGAAAAGGCUCUGGUUAAUACCCGGGGCUCAUGACGGUACCGUAAGAAUAAGCACCGGCUAACUACGUGCCAGCCGCCGCCGUAA